GUUGCUGUAGUUCAGUUGGUAGAUUAUAGGACUGAAAAUCCUUGUGUCAGGAGUUCGAUUCUCUUCGGAAAGA
rnacentral:tRNA from 1 species